ACACAACUGCAUUCCAGCUUGGGUGACAGAGGUAGACCCUGUCUCAAAAACAAAAACAAAAAAAAACACUGCUUUUUUCAGCCUGAGUCUCAAGUCCACUAGCAGUUCCAUGGUCAUAGCCAAAUGAUGCAAUGUAGUGAAGUGGACAUGAGAGCCAACUUUGGAGCAUCUAGUUGUCUCUAUCUCUUCUUAGCUCAGUGAUGAUGAGUUAUUAUUAACCAUCCCUCAAUCUCAGUUUCCUCAAUUGUAAAAUGAGGAUAUUAAUAUAUAUCCCCCACAUAGCAUUGAUCUGAGGUUAAACAGUAUGUAUAAAGCACUUUUGUCUUUUGCAUUGUACAUGUUCAGUGAAACUUAGCCACUGAACUUCCUGUUCAUGAUGUUAAAUUACCUUGGUGUAUCAUUUUUCCAGAACAGGAUAAAGGAUAGCUUCUUGUCGGAGGGAACAGAAGACAUUAGAAUAAUUCAGAGUCAAAAAAGGCCAAGGACCUGGAGUACUGGAAUUCUAGACAGAGCCUCGAGCCUGGGGUACACAGCAUGAACUGAGGUCACAGCAGGCUGGGCGGCAUGGCCGAAUGACUCAAUAGUGAAGUGAUGACUAAUCAUUGUAGUGCUCCUUAUGUCUCUCCCCCUGUAUCCCACCACAGUCACCACAAAGGCCAGAGCUGGUCCUAGAGUCUGGCAAAAGGCUGAGCAUGCAACUUCCAAUGGUGCCAGGCUUCCAGCAGGAGGAAUAGAGGCUGUGGUAAAGGAAACCGUUGGUAAACGAAAGAAACCAGAAACUGUCACUACUCAUAACAACCAAACAACAAAAAAAUUUACAGGAAAGGAAGGGGAGACAAAGGAAAUUGUUUAAAAUGGUUGAAGCCUGCACAGUCUGAUGUGAUCAUUAGGCGUGAGGGUGCCUCAGCAUGGUGGUGCCUAAGACACUGACUCCAAUUUUCCAGUGAGAACAGGAAGGCUUUAAGCACCAAAGCCAUGCUGUCCAGUAAUACUGCUGAGCAAGAAAGCUUUUCUUGAAGGAAGAGAAUAGCGUUUAAUUGAGACUAUUUUUGUCAGUCUCCUAACAUGCUCCUCAGACCACUAAUAUGCAAAAGAACCUAAGGAUCUGGUCACCAAGUUACAUCCAAAGAGUUUACCCCAUAGUCCUUUUUACUGCCUUUUGCAGAACAAAUGUUUAAUAAUGUCGCUAUUGUUCAUUGGUUAUCAGGAAAUAACUCAUUGUAACUGAGAAGUGCUUAGCAAAGAAUCUAUCUCAUGUACUUUUUUUAUUUCAAGAACUUUAAGGAAGCGGCUUUCUACAUGUGUUCACCAAAACUCCAAGAUUUUUCUUUAAUAUUUUGAGAAAGUAUUUUCAGUAAAUCUGUAUUCAUUGAAUGAAAUAUUAAGUGGAUUCAUAAAGAAGCAGGCAGUGUAAGUCCCAGGGUAACAUCAGGAGAAUCUCAAUACAGUGUAGCUGAAGCAUUUCAUCACCCCUCAACAAGAAAAUUGCUAUUUUGCCAACUAUUCUACCACAUUGCAGUGUUUCUGAGAUCUACAUUUUUUUCGCAUUUAUUUCUAAAAUCAAAAUGUGAAUUGCAGUCAAUUGGUGACAUAUUAGAUUUGAUGAGAUAUGGUGGUUCUCCUUGAAAAGCAAAAGUUAGUAAUUUUCAGCAUAUCAUUGGCAUCCAAUGUUUGUUUAACUCUGGGGGGUCAAAAGACAUCUUCAAGCGCUAAUGAAGAAGACAUAUUUUAUUUGUGGACAUUUUUAUUAUAAUUUAGUAGGUAAGUGAUGUUCCUUCAAGGCAUUCAAGGAACCCACUCUGGAAUAAACUAAAGAGACUCUGAGUCUCAGAGUUAGUGUUGCCCACGAGGGUCACAGCCGGUCAAUGGCAGAGCUGGACUGAGGUUCCUGCCCAGUCUGGAGGGUCAACAUAGGGUGUGUUGUCCUGCUGCCUGUCAGAGCAGGCACAAAGCAAGACUCAAUGAGGCAGACCCCAAUUUGCUCUGAAGCGUCCUUCUGUCUGGGCAUUGGCAGAAUUCCCAAACGAGCGGGUAAAGGUACCAAAAAAGUUCAGCCUCAAAUGAGUGGGUCAGUAAGACAUGAGACAGUAAAACAUUGUUCAGUUGUGGAACGUGGGAUUGGUGUGGCAGAGUCACUCUGCUCCAUGCUCAGCCUGCAGCCUCCUCCCUGGUAUCGACGCCUUCCUACUUCCAAGGUUCAUCUUUUGAAAUACAUCAUUUAUUUUAAAAAUAUACUGAUGUUCGUAAAA